ensembl:snRNA U6 U6 spliceosomal RNA
GUGCUUACUUUGGUAGUACAGAUACUGAAAUGGGAAUAAUAAAGAAAAUAUUAGCAUGGGCCCUGCACAAGGAAGUCACACAAAUUUGUGAAGCAUUCCCUAUUUUU